rnacentral:rRNA from 1 species
UACGUAGGGCGCAAGCGUUGUCCGGAAUUAUUGGGCGUAAAGAGCUCGUAGGCGGUCUGUCGCGUCUGCCGUGAAAACCCGAGGCUUAACCUCGGGCCUGCGGUGGAUACGGGCAGACUAGAGGUAGGUAGGGGAGAAUGGAAUUCCCGGUGUAGCGGUGAAAUGCGCAGAUAUCGGGAGGAACACCGGUGGUGAAGGCGGUUCUCUGGGCCUUACCUGACGCUGAGGAGCGAAAGCGUGGGGAGCGAACAGG